AUGCCCUACGGGGCGCAGCAGUGGGGAAUAUUGCACAAUGGGGGAAACCCUGAUGCAGCGACGCCGCGUGAAGGAUGAAGUAUUUCGGUAUGUAGACUUCUAUCAGCAGGGAAGAAAAUGACGGUACCUGACUAAGAAGCCCCGGCUAACUACGUGCCAACAGCCGCGGUAAUACGUAGGGGGCAAGCGUUAUCCGGAUUUACUGGGUGUAAAGGGAGCGUAGACGGUAUGGCAAGUCUGACGUGAAAACCCGGGGCUCAACCCCGGGACUGCAUUGGAA
rnacentral:rRNA from 1 species